rnacentral:rRNA from 1 species
UACGAAGGGGGCUAGCGUUGUUCGGAUUUACUGGGCGUAAAGCGCACGUAGGCGGAUCGUUAAGUCAGGGGUGAAAUCCUGGAGCUCAACUCCAGAACUGCCUUUGAUACUGGCGAUCUCGAGUCCGGAAGAGGUGAGUGGAACUGCGAGUGUAGAGGUGAAAUUCGUAGAUAUUCGCAAGAACACCAGUGGCGAAGGCGGCUCACUGGCCCGGUACUGACGCUGAGGUGCGAAAGCGUGGG